rnacentral:rRNA from 1 species
GUGGGGAAUAUUGGACAAUGGGGGGAACCCUGAUCCAGCCAUGCCGCGUGUGUGAAGAAGGCCUUUUGGUUGUAAAGCACUUUAAGCGAGGAGGAGGCUACCGAGAUUAAUACUCUUGGAUAGUGGACGUUACUCGCAGAAUAAGCACCGGCUAACUCUGUGCCAGCAGCCGCGGUAAUACAGAGGGUGCAAGCGUUAAUCGGAUUUACUGGGCGUAAAGCGCGCGUAGGUGGCCAAUUAAGUCAAAUGUGAAAUCCCCGAGCUUAACUUGGGAAUUGCAUUCGAGACUGGUUGGCUAGAGUAUGGGAGAGGAUGGUAGAAUUCCAGGUGUAGCGGUGAAAUGCGUAGAGAUCUGGAGGAAUACCGAUGGCGAAGGCAGCCAUCUGGCCUAAUACUGACACUGAGGUGCGAAAGCAUGGGGAGCAAACAGGAUUAGAUACCCGGGUAGUCC